AGUGAACGCUGGCGGUAGGCCUAACACAUGCAAGUCGAACGGCAGCACAGUAAGAGCUUGCUCUUACGGGUGGCGAGUGGCGGACGGGUGAGGAAUACAUCGGAAUUUACUUUUUCGUGGGGGAUAACGUAUGGAAACUUACGCUAAUACCGCAUACGACCUACGGGUGAAAGCAGGGGAUCUUCGGACCUUGCGCGAUUGAAUGAGCCGAUGUCGGAUUAGCUAGUUGGCGGGGUAAAGGCCCACCAAGGCGACGAUCCGUAGCUGGUCUGAGAGGAUGAUCAGCCACACUGGAACUGAGACACGGUCCAGACUCCUACGGGAGGCAGCAGUGGGGAAUAUUGGACAAUGGGCGCAAGCCUGAUCCAGCCAUGCCGCGUGGGUGAAGAAGGCCUUCGGGUUGUAAAGCCCUUUUGUUGGGAAAGAAAAGCAGCAGGUUAAUACCCCGCUGUUCUGACGGUACCCAAAGAAUAAGCACCGGCUAACUUCGUG
rnacentral:rRNA from 1 species